rnacentral:lncRNA from 1 species
GGAAGUUACUUAUUCUUCCUCUUCUGCCUUCUAUUGUCUUCAACUACCCCAAAAAAAUCUCCUGGAAACUACUCUCUGAAAGAAGUUGGAGAAAAAUUAUUAAUGCACUUGAAGAAGAUCAAGAAAAAAGAAAGCCUCCAUUAUAGUUUUAUGAGAGCACCAUCACAUAUGCGGUUCGUUGCUGACCAAAACAUUGCCUCAUGCUGGAGAAGAGUAUCCGAGCAUAGUUGCUGCUUCGAGUCACUCCAGGGAGAUCUAAAAUUCCAGGUGAACCAUUUGCUGCUAUAGUCAAGAUGAAAAGGAGUGAAGAACAGCUAAAUAAAAUCAAGUAUAAUGGAGGGAAUCACCACCAAAA